CUCGGGUGGCUGCAGUGGGGAAUAUUGGACAAUGGGCGAAAGCCUGAUCCAGCCAUGCCGCGUGUGUGAAGAAGGCCUUCGGGUUGUAAAGCACUUUCAGUGGGGAAGAAAGCCUUGGGGCUAAUACCCUCGAGGAAGGACAUCACCCACAGAAGAAGCACCGGCUAACUCCGUGCCAGCAGCCGCGGUAAUACGGAGGGUGCGAGCGUUAAUCGGAAUUACUGGGCGUAAAGCGCGCGUAGGCGGUCUGAUAAGCCGGUUGUGAAAGCCCCGGGCUCAACCUGGGAACGGCAUCCGGAACUGUCAGGCUAGAGUGCAGGAGAGGAAGGUAGAAUUCCCGGUGUAGCGGUGAAAUGCGUAGAGAUCGGGAGGAAUACCAGUGGCGAAGGCGGCCUUCUGGACUGACACUGACGCUGAGGUGCGAAAGCGUGGGUAGCAAACAGGAUUAGAUACCCUAGUAGUC
rnacentral:rRNA from 1 species